rnacentral:lncRNA from 1 species
GUUUGGGUUACAUUUUUGGGUUUGAUGUUGGUCUGAAUUGGUUUUUCAAUUUAGAUUUGGCUAAAUUACAGAAAACCCCCUUGUAAUAACCCGCUUUUUCGCUUUUCCUCCCUGACAUUUAAAAACCUACACUUUGCCCCCCUGUAAAAUAAAAAAUGUGCACUUCACCCCCUACCAUUAGGGUUCCGUUAAAAAAAAUAUUUUUAUGCCGAAAAUACCCCUCCGCCAUCUCCCUAUUGCUUUGCCUCCCUCCGGCUCGCCGCCUAGCCGCCUCGCCGCCUAGCCGCCUCGCCGCCUAGCCGCCUCGCCGUCCUCCACUGCCUCGCCCUCACCCACAUCGCCUUCGCCGUCCUCCUCCGCCUCGCCUUCGCCUUCGCCUUCUUUGCCCUUCUCCUACUGUCGCCCACCUCAGUUUUCUCCUAUUGUCACCGAAAUCGAGGGCAGCGAGGAUGCAGGAGGAGAAGGGGAGCAGGUGGAGAAGGAAAUGGAGAAAAAUUGCGGCCGAUUGAGUGGGAAUCGCGGCCGAACGAGAGGGCGGCUGAGGAAGAUAGGGAAGAAGACGACAAUGGCGAGGGGCAAAAUGGUCAUUUUAUACACCGUAACCCCCCUGUGAAUAUUUUUCAUUUUACAGGGGGACAAAGUGUAGAUUUUUAAAUGUCAGGGGGGGAAGUGAAAAAGCGGAUUAUUACAGGGGGUUUUCUAUAAUUUAGCCUUUAGAUUUUAUUCGAUUUGG